CAGCCACCAUUACCAGAGAUUCACACUGCUGGGGGAGAAGGAGCCUCAGCUGACCCCAUUUCUCCAUGCAUUUUUUUUAAAGCUUUUGUUUUGCUCUCCACUGCCCAGCCAAUUGUGGUUUGUGUUAUCCCAAAGCCUCGAGAAGAUGGGAGAAUGCUGCCGACGGGUCCCGCAGGACAAAGGCCUGGGAAACCGCAGAGAAUCACGUUUUCCCUCUGCUCUUCCCAUACCAUUUAUCAUCAAGGGGAAAUUUACUUCUUCCUCUACAACCCAGGCUCAAAUUGGCAUUUCCCCUCAUCCCAAGAACAUUCUGUGUUCAGAAAGGGCCAUCUCCAGGUCUCUGUGUGCCUGAAGACUUCAUUUGUUCCCAUCUCAGCAGGAAGAGACCUGCUGGGGAGGGAUGUACAGCCAGGCUGGGACAGUUCCCUCCUCUCCUGCUGUCUCCUCGUCCUCCUCCUUCCUAUUCAAUGAGGCCAAGCUGGGAAAUGUGUUUGCUAGCCACUCCCCAGGUAUCUGUGGCUGAGACUUCCCAAACUUUGGGGCAACAGGGGCUGUUCCCUGCAGGCCUCCAUUGCCCACUGAGUCCCAUCCCAGCAGGAGAUGCUCUCCCACCCCUGGAGCCUCAGAUCUGCCACAGCAGCACUCAUAACUGCUGCCUGUGGGGAGCUGCUCUGCCUGUAUCUCACAGGCAUAACAUUAUCUCUAUUUUUAUAGAAAGGGUGCAUGAACCAUGCUUGGUUAAGGGAUGAAAUCCCAGCUAAAUUUAAACUUCCUGUCUUAAGGCUGCUAAAUGUCUUUUUUAAAAAAAUGCCACUGAAUGGCUUAUGUAGAAAUAGAUAUUUAUACUUUUUUUUUUUUUUCUUACUUACAUAUAUGCACUCUAAAGUGUUCAGGCAUGAGCCUGAGCUACAGUAGAUAGUUUUUGGAAGGUUUGGGCCAUCCAUGAUUCUCUGGCUGCCAUGUCCCUGAACCACCCAGCAGUGCUGGGUGCUCCCAGCCCCUAUGGAAAAGGCAGUCAUAGCUCACUGUGCUGCCACAGCCCUCACAGAGUUUUCCAUCACCAGCUGUUAACUCUGAAGAAAAAAAAAAUUGCAAAAUGCCUGACUAUGCCUUGGGGAGCCUCAGCCCCUGCAAGCAGGGCCCUGCUGAUCCAGCACGGCCAUGGGCACCCCCAGGCCUGUCAGCAGCAUGAAGGAACUCCUGCAUUCUUGGUGAUCACUUCUGUGACCUGCCUGUGUUCCACAGCUGAGCCCAUGGACAGCAAAAUGGAGUUUUUGACUUCUCUGCUCCCCAAAUCCAGGGCAUGCAGCCUGCUCUGACAGCAUCCCAUGUGCCUGCUCUGCUUCCCUCAACAGCCCAGACCCCCCUCCCUGCGACAGUCAUAAAGAACUGCUGGAAGGCUCCCACACAGAAAUAAACCAUUUACAAGCUCCCAUGGCCUUGUAUGUAGGGCCAAGGUUACUGGUGGGGGGAAAACCUGGGUGCAGAGGAAAAGCCUGUUGCAUAUGAAGGUUGAAAGGAGGAAGUUUUGGUUUAAAUGACCCAUGCCAUGCUUAAAAUGCAGCUCAGCAGGGACUGUGCUGGGCCAGGUUUUGGGGGAGCAGAGUAGGUGAAGAAGUUGCUCACAACCUCUUGCUCAGCAUCCUCCCCCCAUCCAUGAGGCUUCUCUGGCCCUGCUGGGACACGCUGGGAUUUUGUGGGUGACCUCAAGAGAUCACACACACCCAUUCCAGGGUUAGCUACUGAAACCAUGAUUUCAGCUGGGAUUAGAAUCACCUGCAGCCAGCAUGAGCUACCCCCACCUCCCUGCCUUACUCUGCCAGAGCAGGGCUUGCAGAAUCUGAGGCAAAACCCCACUGGAGGAUGAGAGUUUUGGGUGUGGGAUAGAAAUCAAGCCCAGCGUUUGUGUGCAGCCUUCAACCUACAGCCACAGCCACUGCCCCUUACAAACUCCAUUUGCACAGUUUCAUGGGAACAGAGAAUUGAAGAUAAACUGGUUUCUCACCCCAAACCCAAGCCCUACCACACCCAGGCCUGUGUUCUGGUGGUGUCACUGCCAUAGUUCCUCUUUCAUCUCCUCAGCUCAACCCAUCCACGCCACAGCUCGUGCUCGCAGCAGGCUGGUGUGAGAUUGGCUCAGCAGUGUCACCCCAGAGAUACCUGGAGGCUCUGCAGAGGAGUAACAAAAGGACAAAUCCAGGUUGUGGAUGUUGCUGGUGCAGGAUGAGGUCGACUAUUUAUAUAUUUAUACCCACCAGAGUCACUGAAAACAGAUCUCUGAGAGAAUUUCACCCCAGUCCCAUCGGCGCGGUUGCAGAACAGCCACCCGCAGCAGUGAGCUUUCUGCCAGCAGGGACUGCACCUGUAAGAACGUGGAGGGGGAUUCUGUGAGCCCCUCUCUACCACUGCAGCCCCAGAGAGCAGGAGAGAUAGAGCAGACCAAAUGGAGCUGAAAAAACUCAAUAUCCCAGUUUUUGCCCCUGCAAACCACAAGCCACUGGUUCUCCCAGGAAAUCCAUCAGUGCUGCAUUGAGAUCAGGGGACCAACCCAGGCUGCGCCCUCAGGUUUUCUGUGCAUCAGCGCAAUGACUCUGCUUUUGGGGCACAAGGAUGUUUCAUACUGAGGUACCCCAGGGCUGUGCCCCAAAAAAGCCAGCAGCAUCCAGGCAAGCUGGAAUGUCAGGGGCCAGGGAGGAGGUGCCUGGCAUUUGGCAGGGAGAAUUUGGCCAGAGCAGUUUCUCUUUGAUUUUGGGUGAGGAUGCCUGGGUGAGGACAGGGGAGCACACCUGGCCUUGCACUCCUCCAUCCGCCCUCGGAGCCACUUGUCUCCUCCAUCCACUCUGACCAGAUCUCAAGUUUCUUUCACAGAUUUCACUUUCUGACCCCCAUAGCUGCUCCUGGCUGGGACAAGCCCUGCUUUGUGUCCCUGGGGGUUGGGAUGCUGGGUCCGGCCGGUGUCCAGCCCAGGGGGCUGGCAGGGGCAGCCUUGGGCCAGCCAGGGGAUGCCUGUGGCGGGGGGGCUGCAGGGGCAAUUAUUUGCCAUAUUGUGCUCUUGCUUGUGUUUAAAAACAACAGCUCAACUGACUCAUAGGUCCUACGGCCUCUGAGUCAUUUUUUAUUUCUGGAUUUCACUGCUCUGCCCUUUGCAAUGAAGGGAGUUGCAUGCUCACACACACACACACACACACACACACACACACACACACAUCAAGUUCACAUUUGUUUUUCCCCUAUAAAAACAAAACGAUUUCCAUACUAUUAAUGAAACAGAAAUGAUUUGACUUCGCAUACCCUGGCUUUUAUUUUCCAUUGUAUAAACUCUGCAGAUGAAAUAAUGAUGGUUGUAAAGUAAACCUCUCUUUUUUUUUUUCCUUUCCCUUUCCAGGCAGCCUCUUUUCAAAAUAGCAAUAGGGAGUCACUUACAGGCUUGGCUUGUGCUGCUCCUGUAGUAAUUAACCCCUUCAUCCCUAGCUUUUCCUCUGUUGGAAGUUAGCCACAGCGUGGGUGAAGGCAUCAGCUGGUCUCCUCUGGGACAAGAAGCGAAGCGGGGGAGCAGAACAGGCAGGGAAAUGUGGGAAAGGAGGCCAAGAGCUGCUCCAGGCAGAGCAGUGGUGUGUGCCUGGAGCAAUGCACUCAUGGGCUGAGCAGCUUUCCUGGGAGGGCCAGAGUGCUGGCACUGCAGGGCCAGAGGUACCUUCAGCCUUCCUACACCCCCCCUUUUUUGGGUUUAAAUCAGCACCACUGUUUUGUGUUUGGCCUGGCAGCCCCAUCCCGGGUCACCUCCCUUCCUUCCCACUCCCAGGGACCAUCAGUGAAACAUUCUCUCUCCUCCACAUGCCACUGCUGUGGUAAAUAAUCUGUGGUAAAUAAUUAAUCACCUAAUCUUGCUCUUUUUGUUUACAGGGCCGUUAUGAUUUUACGAAGUUCUCAGAGGAACAUUAUUGGGGUGAGGUAAUCCCUUACACAGCAGCAGAUCCAGCUGGAGCUGGGUGUGCGAGCACGUGCCUGCCUUGCCCCGCAGGAUGGGGUGAGCUGCCCUCCCUGCCAGGGUGUGAGCUCUGCUUCGUGGUAGACCCUUGCCAUCACACACAUUCUGUCUGUCUUCCAGGCCUCCACACAUGCCACAAGCAUUUUUCCUAAUCACAUUUAUCAUGCAGCAGCACAACCCUGCAUCCCCCCAGCGCUGGAUCAGAUGCUUCACUGAUGCCUGGCCCGGCUGGGUUGGUGACACUGACUGAGAUACUGUUCCUCUUCCCAGACUGGCUGGGGAACUCAAAAUGUGAAAAUUACCCACCAAAGAAAGCUUGGCAUUAAAGUUUGCGAAAUCAGACAGGCCAAACCUGCAGUCCCGAGGUCCUGAAGGCCAGCAGAACCUAGCCCAACAUGACAAGGCUCUGCAUGAAUCCUGGAUCUCUGUGAAUAGAUGGAAUUGAAAUUGAAGGAUACCAUCCAAAUAGCAUCCUGCCUCUGGACACCUUCUGAGACAUGCCACAGUCUGAACAUGCUGAGCAGCACUUCUGCCCAAGAGCUGCCUCCCAAGCCACAGCCUGCUGCAGAGCUGACAGCCCUGGCAAGGGUGAAAGGGAGGAUCAGACAUGAGGAUGCUGCUCUACAAACAGGAGAGCAGCAGCAAGGCAAGCAGACCCGGUCUCCUCCAGGACCCCAUUUCUGGAUCCCACCGGCAGCCAGAAGCCCAGCUUCACGGCGUUGACCACCCCAUCCUCCCUCGGUGGAGCCAGUCUCCUGCGUUCCUGCUGUCAAGCCCGGAGCCCCUCUUUGCGAGGCUCCCGGCUCGGGCUUGCCGGGAAGGCGGAUCCAGCCGCUAAAGCCCAGCUGUGCGUGGGGUCCGCCCAGGAACUGCAGUUUAUGAACAAACUAAGCCUGACUCUCCUCUCGGAAUAUAUACAAAUAUGAGAGGGGGGAGCUGGCGGAAGAAGAAGUCAGGCUCUGAGAAAAAGAGUUGGAUGAUUUUUUUUUUAUCCCCUUGAUGUCAAUGUGGAGCUGCUCCUGGCUCCAUACGGCCCAAGGAUCUUUGAAGGGGACCUAAAGCCUGCUGCAUGCAUCUAAUCAAAAAGGCAUGGGUACUCCUGCAUGAGCCUUUCAUCUGAAUAAAGGACGAAAGGGAUCCUAAGCAAGUACUGUUUUCUGCUGCAUCCAUCACACCCCAAGGACAUCACAUGCAGACAGAUGCCAGGGUCUUCAGUGAGGAUCAGCCUUUGAAGACCAACAGCACAACUUGGCAUCACUUUGGCUGCUGGAUGCCUCUGGAGAGCAAAUACCUUCAGUUCUGGAGGAAUUAGUCUGCAGAGGAAAGUAGGAGCAGUUUGACAGCCUGACUCAUGAUCUUUGUAUUAUUAUUACUGGUUGUGAAACUAUGAUAGGAUCCAGGAGCCUGAACCAUGGAUCAGGAAUGUGCUUUUGAAGAGAAACUCCUGGCCUUCCUGCUUUGGCUUGUGUUACAAGGCAGUCUCAAGGCAGGCACACAAGGGUGUUUUUUUCAACAGCAGCUAAACUGGAAGUUGUGAAGGGUGGCAGGUCCCUGGGAGUGGGAUAGAGGCAUCCUAAAAAUUAUCAACUAAAAUACGUCUGUUGUGGAUGGCAGGUUCACAACUCCAGGGUGUUGCUCCAUGAAUCUGCUCUGUCCUGAACCUCCCUGCUUUCAAGCACCAGCACAGCCAGAUCCUGCACAGGAUAUGCAGUCAGCAGGAAUAUUGGCUGCUUUACUUUCUCUUCCUGAGGUUACUGAAAGGCUGUGGGUGUUGCAGAAUAGAUGCAAAGCAGAGCCACUGCUUUAGGUGUUUUCAUUCUGAUUCUCAGUAGCAUGAUGGUUGUUGUUGGUGGUUUUAUUAUCUUUUAAAUAUAACUACAUCUAAGAAGUUGAAGGAUGAGGAACUCGAAGAAACUGAUAAAUAAUGUUGUGACAAAGAGGAAAAUAUCUGAAAUGUUUCCCAUUAAUAUAGCUGCUUUUUUUUUAGGUGUCUUAUUUUCUAGAGCAACACAGCCUGUCAAAAGAUCUGAUAAGAACACAUAACAUUACAUAAAACACCAGGGAGCCAGUUUAUAAGGUAAUAUUCCUUCCAUAGCUUUCUUCCAUCAAAAAGCAGUUUAUCCAGUGUAAUGGUAGGAUUAAAACAAAUAGAUUUACAGAAUAGAAAAGAUGGAGAUCCCUGUUUGCCACAGACUGUAAUGGGAGUCAGGGCAACUUCAGAGACUGAAGGGACUUGUAGGUAGGAUGUGGAGUAGAGUUUGCCUUCUUAAAGUUGAAGAACAAGGGACAUGCUGCCUAGUAAAGAUGCUGAAGAGCAAGAGAGUUUCUUUGUUUAGAUUGUUAGAGUUUAGAUUGACCUGCAGGAGAUUGGACUCACAUUGUUACAAGAGGGGGCCCAGUGAGACCCUGGGUGCAUGAGGAGUUGUGCCUAGCUAGGGGGAAACACUACAGCUUAACUUGACCACAGUAGCACAAGCCCUGGAAGUCCUCCUGAGAGCAGCACUGUGCUGCAAUAAAAUACCUUUAUCCCACUUUGCAUGCUGAGGUAGGGAAAUGUGGUUCAGGAAGAGGACUUUGUAGGAGACUUUAGUGCUUGUGGAAGAUCUCUCCACUGUGUACCAUUUUGUUCAAGACACUUUACUCUCCUCUGAACUCUCCAGGCUGUGAUCUACAUGAGGGCUACCCAGGCUCCCAGUCAUCUUGACUUAAGCUCUUCUACCACUACCCUCAUCCUCCAUAUAUAAUGUUUUAACUCUUCUCCACAUCUUUUAGUAGUAUGAAGAGAAUUCAAAGAUGAAAAUAGUUUUUGAAGUCAUAGAAUGUUGGACCUACAAUAUAUUACUGUACUUUAUUGAUAAUGUUGUUUCCAUAAUAAAAAUAUUUAGUACAAAGUA